CGGCCUUGUGGGCGAGGGUGGGCGCGGCGGUCUGCUUGGCGAGCGGGACGGAGAUCGCGAAGCCGUUGUUCUGGACGAGGAAGACCACC
rnacentral:tRNA from 1 species